rnacentral:rRNA from 1 species
UACGGAGGGAGCUAGCGUUGUUCGGAAUUACUGGGCGUAAAGCGCGCGUAGGCGGCUUUGUAAGUUAGAGGUGAAAGCCCGGAGCUCAACUCCGGAACUGCCUUUAAAAACUGCAUCGCUUGAAUCCAGGAGAGGUGAGUGGAAUUCCGAGUGUAGAGGUGAAAUUCGUAGAUAUUCGGAAGAACACCAGUGGCGAAGGCGGCUCACUGGACUGGUAAUUGACGCUGAGGUG